CUUCCUUUCUUUGUAGCCACCUCAGGGGAAGCAACAGAUCGUCACUCGGUGUUCUCACCGAAAGCACGUAAUCGCCGGUGUAACUCAUGUUGGCUGGGGGGCCUCCCCGCGCGCAGAAAGGCUGGGGUGCGCCCCCGGGCAGCUCUCCUUUGCUCAGCUACAUGGUCCUGGUCCACGAGUGCUCUGAGGGCGGCAAGAGAGCGCAACUCCUGACGCCUCCCCCCACUCCCCGGAACCCCUUCUCCUCGCUGCCUGUAGGGGUUCGGAGUGACUCCUCAGAGCCAGAGGCACUUCUGCUCACCGGUCCGCAAGCUGCCUGGUCUGCUGAAGCUGACGAAUCGGGAAACCAUGCAAUUGAGGCGAACCUUGGGCUGUUUUAGAGGCGCUGAGGAGCCUUCUCCUGGGAGGCCCAAGGUUGAUUUCAGCCCACCAGGAUCUGGGGAAGACCCAGCUAGGGAUAAGAGCACACCAAAAGGCCAAGUCCGAGUUCCAUUCCUAGAAGAGGCGGCUGCAGACAAGGCUAUGACAUUGGCCCUGGACAUUGGUUUCCCAGGAGCUGCUUUUUCUCAAGAACUCCACAGCACGGGGCUGUCUCCAGAAAACGCUCUUCAACGUUUAUUUCUUUUAAUCGUCGCCCGGAGCCCUAAGGCGGCUAAUGCAAGAGGCCAAAAAUGUUUGGAGGAAGAAAAACAAAGGCAGGAAGUGGCCGCGGCCUGACGGUGCGUGUGUGUCUGUAAAAGAGGGAGGGAGCCGGUUCAACCUCCCCUCGUUUUCCCGAACUUCAAGGUCUAGGCAGACCCCCUUAGGGCCUUGCCAAGGCUCCCCCCACACUCCCCCCCCCCCCGGCGGCGCAACGUUUGGAGGUGGCCAACGAUUUAAGCCUCGGUCGGGCUGAAAGGAGAUUUGAUCGGCAGAACAAACCAACCCUUUUCGGAGGUUUCUUUUGAUUUGGUCCUAAAGGGUAUAUACUAGUGCCCACAGCGGCUGGGGGUGGCUGCUGUUUUCCUCCCGCCGGGCUAAAAGUACCAAGAAGGGAGGGAGGGAGAGAGAUUCAGGCACCUUGCGCUGGCUGCACUCUCCUUCUGAGAUAGAAUAUCAGAAUAAAGUGUAUUCAGGUGCCUCUGC
rnacentral:lncRNA from 1 species